CCUCUGACCUCACCACAUUACCAUGUCGCAGGUCAUUUUGUUGUUUCCAAAUAUUGUACAACACAGCACCAAGCGCCAAUUUACAAAGAAUUUACUCUCAGAUUUUUCCCUUUUAUCACCUUAAUUCCAUCACUCCAAAACAUCAUCCCAUGCCACAAGGUGCGGCAGCUUUCAUGCGGCUACCCAGAAUCUCACACCAAAUCCUUUUGCUGUAGCUGCUGAACGAAAAUGUGGUCCCUGCUUUCAAUACUAGCUCUGCAAAAAGCUCAGGAUGCACUGACAAACUCACUGGUUUGUCUUUUCUUGAGCCACGUACUUGAGGAUUCCGUUUCUGUUUCUGGAACAUCAGAGUCUGAUUCAAGGCAAGAUGACAAGGAUUGAAGAUCUCAAUCUUGUAACCGGAAUGACUCCAUGGGUGAUGACAGCUCCCAUUAGCAAAGACACUUUCAUGCAUCCUUUUUCAUUUCUUUUCUCCUUGAUUCUGAAGAGUUGUUGGCUAUCCUUGCAAUGCUAUCAAGCCAGCAGAAGGGCAUUGAAGAAAUGGGAGAACUUGGAGCAGUUCCUUGGUUGCUUAGCAUUAUUAGAGAGAGCAUUUCUAGACGUAACAACAAGAAUUGCAUUGCAACCCUCCAAACCAUCUGUUUUAAUGUGGCCUCUCGGGCCUUCUGUGUAGUCAUUCUCAAUUACCUUUUUGUAUAUUCUCGUUUGGUCUAGAUUCAAUUUCAGCUUCAUUAGUUAAUUGCUGUGAUUCUGGGAAUAAAAUGAAAGGAAGCUUUAUUAAAAAAAUUGUAUCUUCUUUUGUUUUCUUUUGCUUUUUCUGGUGAUUGGGAAUGGUCCAAUGCAUACAAGCUUGGAUUUUAUUGACAGCAACAAAACGUUGGAUCCUUUGGCCCGAUCCCUCUUUCUGACAAAUCCCACUCCUUUGAGACUUCAUGCUGCAGUACGUGGUUGCUGGAGUCCAAGAACUCAUGUUCUACCACCAAGACCUAAGAGAGACCAAAACUGUGAAGAUCAAUGGGGACACAUAAACGAAGGCGGAAGGGAAGUGGGGCUUGUGAUGAUGAUGAGAGAGAGAGAGAGACAGUGAUGAAAAUGGGAAAGCCAGAAAACAUGGCAUGUUGGGGCCUCUUUGUGCUCUUGUCUCUGUUUCUUUCUUUCUUUGUUUUUUGUGGGUCAGAUUGUGUAUAAUUUGCAUGCUAUGGUUGG